GGAAGGGCGUACGGCGAAUGCCUGGCCACUCAAUACUGAAGAAGGACGUGCCAAACUGCGAAAAGCGACGGCGAGCUGUCUAGGAAGCGAAGAACCGUCGAUAUCCGAAUGGGGGAACCCGGCUGAUGGAAGAUCAGUCAUCCUAUAUUGAAUACAUAGGUAUAGGAGAGGUACCCGGGGAACUGAAACAUCUAAGUACCUGGAGGAAGAGAAAAUAAGAAUGAUUCCCGAAGUAGCGGCGAGCGAAACGGGAGAAGCCCAAACCAUCCUAAGGGAUGGGGUUGUAGGACUGUAAUAUGGCAAGCGAGCGGAUAGAGGAAUACGAUUGGAAGCGUAGCCGAAGAGGGUGCAAGCCCCGUACUUGAAAUCUAAUCAAAGCCUAACAGGAUCCUGAGUACGGCGAGACACGAGGAAUCUUGUCGGAAGCAGGCGGGACCAUCCGCCAAGGCUAAAUAUAAUUGAGUGAGCGAUAGUGAACGAGUACCGUGAGGGAAAGGUGAAAAGAACCGCGGGAGCGGAGUGAAAGAGAACCUGAAACCGUAUGCCUACAAGAAGUCAGAGCCCGUUAAAGGGUGAUGGCGUGCCUUUUGUAGAAUGAACCGGCGAGUUGCGAUGAGAUGCGAGGUUAAGCGGGAAAACGCGGAGCCGAAGCGAAAGCGAGUCUGAAUAGGGCUAUAGUAGGUCAUCGCAGACCCGAAACCGGGUGAUCUAGCCAUGAGCAGGUUGAAGUUGAGGUGAAACUCAAUGGAGGACCGAACCGACCACCGUUGAAAAGUUGGCGGAUGACUUGUGGCUAGGGGAGAAAUUCCAAUCGAACCCGGAGAUAGCUGGUUCUCCCCGAAAUAGCUUUAGGGCUAGCGUCGUGGAAAGAUAUAUGAAGGUAGAGCACUGAAUGUGUGAUGGCCCCAUCCCGGGGUACUGAAUACAAUCAAACUACGAAUGUCAUAUAUUUGUAACGGCAGUCAGACCGUGAGUGAUAAAGUCCAUGGUCAAGAGGGAAACAGCCCAGACCGCCAGCUAAGGUCCCAAAAUAUCGGCUAAGUGGAAAAGGAUGUGGGGAUGCACAGACAACUAGGAGGUUGGCUCAGAAGCAGCCAUCCUUUAAAGAGUGCGUAACAGCUCACUAGUCGAGUGACCCUGCGCCGAAAAUGUACCGGGGCUAAGCCGGAUACCGAAGCUGCGGAUUUAGACGUUAAAGUUUAAGUGGUAGGGGAGCGUUGCAUACAGGAAGAAGCUAUACUGAGAAGAAUAGUGGACCGUAUGGAAGUGAGAAUGCCGGUGUGAGUAGCGAGAUGUAGGUGAGAAUCCUACACACCGAAAGCCUAAGGAUUCCAGGGGAAGGUUCGUCCGCCCUGGGUAAGUCGGGACCUAACGCGAGGCCGAAAGGCGUAGUGGAUGGAAAACAGGUAGAGAUUCCUGUACCCGUAUAUGGAGCGAAUGGAGUGACGGAGAAGGAAAGCAUGACCCUCUUAAUGGAUUGAGGGCGAAGCGAGGUAAGGUCUAACCAGGCAAAUCCGGUUAGUGAAACCUGAAGACGUGAAAGGUAAGCGAACGUUUCGACAAGUAGCGAAGCAUGUAGACCAGCUUCCAGGAAAAGCUUCUAGUAAUGCAUAUACGGCCCGUACCAAAACCGACACAGGUGGGCAGGGAGAGUAUCCCGAGGUGAGCGAGAGAACUGUUGCCAAGGAACUCGGCAAAAAGGCUCCGUACGUUCGCAAGAAGGAGCGCUUGAGAGAUCAAGCCGCAGUGAAGAGGCCCAAGCGACUGUUUAACUAAAACAUAGCUCUCUGCGAAGUCGUAAGACGAAGUAUAGGGGGUGACACCUGCCCGGUGCUGGAAGGUUAAGAGGAUCUGUUAUUCGCAAGAAGAAGCAGUGAGUUGAAGCCCCAGUGAACGGCGGCCGUAACUAUAACGGUCCUAAGGUAGCGAAAUUCCUUGUCAGGUAAGUUCUGACCCGCACGAAAGGUGUAACGAUUUGGGCGCUGUCUCGGCAGCAGACUCGGUGAAAUCUUAGUACCUGUGAAAAUGCAGGUUACCCGCAACUAGACGGAAAGACCCCAUGGAGCUUUACUGUAGCUUGAUAUUGAACUUUGAUCGUACAUGUACAGGAUAGGUGGGAGACUAUGAGACGCGUACGCCAGUAUGCGAGGAGUCAUCGUUGGGAUACCACUCUUGUGCGAUUGAAGUUCUAACCCAGGUCCAUGAAACUGGAUCGGGGAGAGUGUCAGGCAGGCAGUUUGACUGGGGCGGUCGCCUCCCAAAGAGUAACGGAGGCGCCCAAAGGUACGCUCAGAUUGGAUGGAAACCAAUCAGCGAGUGCAAAUGCAGAAGCGUGCUUGACUGUGAGACAAACAAGUCGAACAGGGACGAAAGUCGGGAUUAGUGAUCCGGCGGUGCCGAAUGGAAGGGCCGUCGCUCAACGGAUAAAAGCUACCCUGGGGAUAACAGGCUGAUCUCGCCCAAGAGUUCACAUCGACGGCGAGGUUUGGCACCUCGAUGUCGGCUCAUCGCAUCCUGGAGCUGGAUUCGGUUCCAAGGGUUGGGCUGUCCGCCCAUUAAAGCGGUACGCGAGCUGGGUUCAGAACGUCGUGAGACAGUUCGGUCCCUAUCUGUUGUGGGCGUAGGAGAUUUGAGGAGAGCUGUCCUUAGUACGAGAGGACCGGGAUGGACUUACCUCUGGUGCACCAGUUGUCCUGCCAAGGGCAUAGCUGGGUAGCUAAGUAGGGAAAGGAUAAGUGCUGAAAGCAUCUAAGCACGAAACCUACUCCAAGAUGAGAUCUCCCAAAUAGUAAGACCCCUUAAAGACGAUAAGGUAGAUAGGCCGGGGAUGGAAGUAUAGUGAUAUAUGGAGUUGACCGGUACUAAUAGGUCGAGGACUUAAUC
rnacentral:rRNA from 1 species